UCUUAUAAAGUAUUUAUAUACACUUAAUUUCGACUUAAGAAAAGAUUAUUAUAACUAAUCUAUAAGAA
rnacentral:tRNA from 1 species